rnacentral:piRNA from 1 species
UACCACAGGAAACACAAGCCCCCAACGCCAU